CUGUUCCUCGCUUUCUCAGGUCAUGAUUUAUGGACUUUGUUUAUGUGAUAAAACAUGUGAAGAGGUGGAUUGGAAAGCAAGAGGGAAGGAUUUGGCAGAGAGUAGGUACGACACAGGGCAGUUGUGGCAAGACUUGUUGGAUGAUGACCUCAUUACUCCACUCUCUGAUAAUGAAUACGUCCUCAGGAUCUCCAAUCCAGUCUCCCCCUUUUGAAACUGUUAUGUUUGGUCCAAGGAAAGCUUCCAUAUUGAACGAGGAGAUUCCUGUUCAAGUCUAUGAUACAGAAGG